rnacentral:rRNA from 1 species
UACGUAGGGUGCAAGCGUUGUCCGGAAUUAUUGGGCGUAAAGAGCUCGUAGGCGGUUUGUCGCGUCUGCUGUGAAAACUCGGGGCUUAACUCCGGGCCUGCAGUGGGUACGGGCAGACUAGAGUGCGGUAGGGGAGACUGGAAUUCCUGGUGUAGCGGUGAAAUGCGCAGAUAUCAGGAGGAACACCGGUGGCGAAGGCGGGUCUCUGGGACGGUACUGACGCUGAGGCGCGAAAGCGUGGGGAGCGAACAGG